ACGUCCUUAGUUCAGUGCGGUAGAACGUGGGUCUUCAAAACCUGAAGUCGUAGGUUCGAGUCCUACAGAACGUG
rnacentral:tRNA from 1 species